GACUCUAUUUGGCGCCUGUGCUUCCCUGCC
rnacentral:piRNA from 1 species